rnacentral:rRNA from 1 species
UACGAAGGGGGCUAGCGUUGCUCGGAAUCACUGGGCGUAAAGGGCUCGUAGGCGGCCAACUAAGUCAGACGUGAAAUCCCUCAGCUUAACUGGGGAACUGCGUCUGAUACUGGAUGGCUUGGAUCCGGAAGAGGGAUGCGGAAUUCCAGGUGUAGCGGUGAAAUGCGUAGAUAUCUGGAGGAACACCGGUGGCGAAGGCGGCAUCCUGGGCCGGUAUUGACGCUGAGGAGCGAAAGCCAGGGGAGCAAACGGG